ACGAGAUAGCGAGCUACUGACGGUGCCUUCUAGGCGCUGAGGAAGCUCAAAAAUCCACACGGGCUGCCCAGCAGCAAGAGCUGCACGUCGUAAGACGUGGCAAUGCAACAGAGACGGUCGGCUACCCUUUGUAGCCGGGUGAAACGGGUAACCCUUGGGCGGAUCAAGGCGAAAUACGACCAGUGACGAGCCUGUCUGAGACCGAGGUAUGCCGCGCAAGCCGAAUUUCGCCUACAAACAGAACCUGGGCUACGGCUAUCCCAC
rnacentral:RNase_P_RNA from 1 species